CCAGACUCCUACGGGAGGCAGCAGUGGGGAAUAUUGCACAAUGGGGGAAACCCUGAUGCAGCGACGCCGCGUGAGUGAAGAAGUAUUUCGGUAUGUAAAGCUCUAUCAGCAGGAAAGAAAAUGACGGUACCUGACUAAGAAGCCCCGGCUAACUACGUGCCAGCAGCCGCGGUAAUACGUAGGGGGCAAGCGUUAUCCGGAUUUAUUGGGUGUAAAGGGGGCGCAGACGGCAGCGCAAGCCAGGAGUGAAAGCCCGGGGCCCAACCCGGGGACUGCUCUUGGAACUGGGCGGCUGGAGUGAAGGAGGGGCAGGCGGAAUUCCUGGUGUAGCGGUGAAAUGCGUAGAUAUCAGGAGGAACACCGGUGGCGAAGGCGGCCUGCUGGGCUGCGACUGACGUUGAGGCCCGAAAGCGUGGGGAGCAAACAGGAUUAGAUACCCCCGUAAA
rnacentral:rRNA from 1 species